ACGGAGGGGGUUAGCGUUGUUCGGAAUUACUGGGCGUAAAGCGCGCGUAGGCGGAUCAGAAAGUAGAGGGUGAAAUCCCGGGGCUCAACCCUGGAACUGCCUUCUAAACUCCUGGUCUUGAGUUCGAGAGAGGUAAGUGGAAUUCCGAGUGUAGAGGUGAAAUUCGUAGAUAUUCGGAGGAACACCAGUGGCGAAGGCGGCUUACUGGCUCGAUACUGACGCUGAGGUGCGAAAGCGUGGGGAGCAAACAGG
rnacentral:rRNA from 1 species